UACGUAGGGUGCAAGCGUUAAUCGGAAUUACUGGGCGUAAAGCGCACGUAGGCGGCUUUGUAAGUUAGAGGUGAAAUCCCGGGGCUCAACCCCGGAACUGCCUUUGAUACUGGGUAUCUCGAGUCCGGAAGAGGUGAGUGGAAUUCCGAGUGUAGAGGUGAAAUUCGUAGAUAUUCGGAGGAACACCAGUGGCGAAGGCGGCUCACUGGUCCGGUACUGACGCUGAGGUGCGAAAGCGUGGGAGCAA
rnacentral:rRNA from 1 species